UUGACUAGUGGCUUGGUGUAUAGUCCAUAUAAGGUACACGGUUAGGCACUCAGGUAUUUCCGGGCUGCAGGUAACAUCUUACUCCGCCCACCAGUUGGGGGAAGGGAGGAUCCAUCAG